ensembl:lncRNA
AAACCUUUCCUAGCAUCCGUGAUCUCAGCGUUCUUUGCCCUGGCACCCAUGCCGUGGAACUCUUGGCUCGGGAGCUCAGACAGGCAUCAGAAUUGCAUCUCUUUUUAGAAGCAGCUAGUCAGAUGUCUUUUCAGGUCUUGUUCUCAGCUGUACGGACAACUGCACCCUGCAAGGUUCCAUUAUGGCUGAUUAGGACUUGUAAGAAUGUGAGCACAGGUAGAGCAUUGCAACUGUAGGGCUCCUGGGCAUUCAUCUUUGCAGUUCUUGGACUGAAUCAUUCAGUUUACCAUCUUCUUUUUCCAGGGCUCUCUGAGCCUCAACAGCUAACCAUCAGUCUCACCUUAGUCAUCUAAUUUUGCAUCCUCUCAGUCCUUGCAGUCAUUUUCCUUGCCUAGAGGUUUCUGUCUGUGUCGUGUCCCUAUUGUUUGUCACGUCCUGUCCUGUGUCACGGGUGUCAGCACACAUUUGUGCCGGAGCUGCUCUGCCCUGCCGCAUAGCCUGGUGCAAUAGGAGAAGUCCCGGGGACUUGGAAUUUGUAAUAUGGGGUGUAGUUGGACUCUAGAUGGGAUUUGUUGAUGGACACAAGAUGUCUGGAGCUCUUAAGCUAUUCUGCAGCCUUUUGACUUUGUCCUAACUUUCUUUCAGAUGCAGAAGGAUAAAAUCCAGGGCAGAGCCCCCCAUCCCAGGUGAGGGGAUUCCCCCGAGCAGGUCAGUCGCUGUUUUCCUCGGUACAGGAAGCAUAUAUGAUGGCUGUUACAGCUCUGUUGCCUUUCUUUUUAGGAAGUCAAGGCAGAGAGCAGCAGUCCAGGCCAGCGGGCAAGGUAGUCCACUUGUGAUCUAUCCUGGCCGAGCAUGCCCAUGCCAGGUGGGUGCAAGCUUAAGGUAUCGGUGUGGCACACUUGUCACGGUAGGGAGGUUGUGUUUUCACAGUAUCUCAGCAUGCUUUUCUGCUUUGUUUCUUUGCAGGUGCUGUCACUGUCCUAGGCAUGACCAAGGAACAGAGGAGGGCAGGUUAGUAGGUGUUUAGGCAGGCUGACUCAUAGGUGAGCAUUAUGCAGCAGCAUGCUAAGUGUGUACAUUUUCUUUUUGCAGGUGUCUUCUGGGCAGCCUCUGGAGUCAAAUCAAGAUUUGAGGUGAGCUGGGACAGUGGUGCGGAGGACUCCCGGGGAUUACUGUUUUUGAGGGCAAUAGUCACGUUUUCUGUUGCGCCUUAGGUACCCCGAGGAGGCCGUUAGCCAAAGCUUGGAAGUGGCAGCACCGAAGCACACGCAUCGAGAACAUCUCAACAUCCACGUCCGAUCGAGGAUGGAUUUUGUCCACUUGUCUUCCAAAAGCUAAGUGUCGGGAGAAGGGGAAAAGCCUUUACUAUCACAGGGGGCAGUUUCAUGUCAGCUUAGCGGAGAGGUCUGUAGUGGGACGGGCUCCCUGGAAGUAAAGGGAGAGGGUUUCUCCUUAGCCUCACCAGAGCGUUUGCCGGGCAGGGCAGUUCCGACCCAUCUCCACAGCGUCGCGAACUUUGCGUCGUCGGCCUUCCUCGACUUGGCAUCAUCACGGAUCUUCCCCCGAGGAGCUCGCCUUCGGGUCCAGAGCUAUAGCCACGAUCACCCAGCCAUCCGCUUCCUUCUCGAGGCUCGCCGAGCCUCUCGAGCAUCUUCUUAACUGCUUUGGCACUAACUUCUUUUAACGAGUUACAUUUCAUUAACACACGCUAUUGUCAUAGAGCUUCCUUUCCUUUGGCAUCAUCAGCCUCUGGCUCAUCUUGCGCUAGCAGUCUCAGGUCCCUAAGGGGAAAGUUGCCACUUGUCUCUGUGUUACGUCUUCUGUGUCUAUUUUAUGUCAUCCGUGUCUGUGUUAUGUAGCGUGUGUCCGUCAUCUUCCACGUCGUAGGCCUUUAUUACAUCUUGAUGCUUUAUCGGCACUAUUCUGUGCCAUAACGCCCCUAUUCUACUCACGUUUCUUUCCGGAUAUUCCUUAUUCCGGCAUCUUUACA